ACGGACGGGACGGCAGCGCGUUGCGCGUUCCCCCGAGGAACGGGCAGCGUUCGACGAGCGGUGGCGAGAACUCGCCCGUGGAAGGGCUCGUCGUCGGCGCACCGAUCCAGCCAUUAGAGCCGCGCGAGUCCCGGAAAUCCGACAGCAACGAGAAGAAGAUACCGAGCUGAGGGACCGGCAGACCGAAGUACUUUGACAGAGGAAUGCACCUAUUCAUUCGAAGGUAUUUCUACGAGCCCGUGGUAGGCAGCCGCAAGGGCGCUGGGUGGUUACUGCUGG